rnacentral:lncRNA from 1 species
UAUUUGCAUAACAUAUCAUUUUUCCAUUUUUUUCUGAUUUAUGUUUUAAUCUAAAGUAUGUCUCUUAUAGAUCAUAGUUGGGUCUUUCUUCUUUUAUUUAGUCAAUUUCAGCCUUUUGAAGGUUUAGUCCAUUCAUACUUCGUGGAAUUUUCAAUAUAAUUAUGCUAGUGUUCCAGAAGAGUCAUGUGUUAAAGACUUGGUCCCCAACACAGAAAUAUGCAGAGAUGGAACUUUUGGGAACUGAUUUGAUUAUGAGGGCUCUAAAUUUAUUUAUUUACUUAUUUAUGUACAUGUAAAUGUUACAGCCAAAAUAAAUCUUUUCUCCUCAUCUGUGAGUUAACCAAUUUGAUAGAUUACUAAUUUGGACUACUGGGUGGUGGCAGAAACUAGGCAGCUGGGGUGUGUAUGGUUGGAGGAAGGUCACUGAGGGUGUGACCUUGGGUAUUAUACCCUGCCCCUGGCCUCUAUUUUUUUAAAAUAUUUUUUUAGUUGAUAGACCUUUAUUUAUUUAUUUACAUGUGGUGCUAAGAAUCAAACCCAGUGCCUCACACAUGCUAGGCAAGUGCUGUAUCACUGUAUCAACUCUACAACCCUAGCUCCCGGGCCCCUUUCUUGCUCUCUGAUUCUGGGCUGCCAUGAGCUCAUCAAUUUUCCUCCACCAGGCCCUUCUGCCAUGAUAUUUCUGCCUUGGAGCAUGCUGACCAUGAAUUAACUAUAACCUCCAAAACUAUGAGCCAAAAUAAAUCUUUUCUCCUCAAAGGUGUUUUCCCCAGGUGUUUGUCAAAGAGAGGAAAACCUGACAACACAGGCUGAAAUUUUCCUGUUUUCUAUCAUUUUUGUACUUCUGUUCCCCCUUGAUUGUUUUCUUUUGUGUUAAACACUUUUUAAAAAAAUUUACUAUUUUAAUUCAUCUUAUUUUUGCUAUUCUUUUGAUACAAAAAUCUUGUUAUUUUAUAGUGUACAAUG